rnacentral:rRNA from 1 species
CAGUAGCCGCGGUAAUACGAAGGGUGCAAGCGUUAAUCGGAAUUACUGGGCGUAAAGCGUGCGUAGGCGGUCUGUUAAGUCUGUUGUGAAAUCCCCGGGCUCAACCUGGGAAUGGCAAUGGAUACUGGCAAGCUAGAGUGUGUCAGAGGAUGGUGGAAUUCCCGGUGUAGCGGUGAAAUGCGUAGAGAUCGGGAGGAACAUCAGUGGCGAAGGCGGCCAUCUGGGACAACACUGACGCUGAGGCACGAAAGCGUGGGGAGCAAACAGGAUUAGAUACCCCGGUAGUCCCUGUCUCUUAUAC